rnacentral:rRNA from 1 species
GACGAACGUUGGCGGCGUGCUUAAUACAUGCAAGUCAACUGAAGCAGUGGUAGCAAUAUCGCUGUGGAGGUGGCGCACGGGUGAGUAACACGUAGGUAAUCUGCCUUCAGGUCUGACAUAACUCCGGGAAACCGGGGCUAAUAGCAGAUGAUGCAGCGGCUCGACAUCGAGACAGUUGUUAAAGCUAUGGCGCCUGAAGAUGAGCCUGCGUCUGAUUAGCUAGUUGGCGGGGUAACGGCCCACCAAGGCAACGAUCAGUAGCUGGUCUGAGAGGAUGAUCAGCCACACUGGAACUGAGACACGGUCCAGACUCCUACGGGAGGCAGCAGUAAGGAAUAUUGCUCAAUGGGAGAAAUCCUGAAGCAGCAACGCCGCGUGAGGGACGAAGGGCUUUUGCUUGUAAACCUCUGUAGUGAGAGAAAAAAAUCCCAAUCUUUGGGACAUGAUGGUAUCUCAAAAGUAAGCCCCGGCUAACUACGUG